GUGGGGAAUAUUGGACAAUGGGCGAAAGCCUGAUCCAGCCAUGCCGCGUGUGUGAAGAAGGUCUUCGGAUUGUAAAGCACUUUAAGUUGGGAGGAAGGGCAGUAAGUUAAUACCUUGCUGUUUUGACGUUACCGACAGAAUAAGCACCGGCUAACUUCGUGCCAGCAGCCGCGGUAAUACGAAGGGUGCAAGCGUUAAUCGGAAUUACUGGGCGUAAAGCGCGCGUAGGUGGUUUUGUAAGUUGGGGGUGAAAUCCCCGGGCUCAACCUGGGAACUGCCUCCAAAACUGCAUGACUAGAGUACGGUAGAGGGUAGUGGAAUUUCCUGUGUAGCGGUGAAAUGCGUAGAUAUAGGAAGGAACACCAGUGGCGAAGGCGACUACCUGGACUGAUACUGACACUGAGGUGCGAAAGCGUGGGGAGCAAACAGGAUUAGAAACCCCGGUAGUCC
rnacentral:rRNA from 1 species